rnacentral:rRNA from 1 species
GACAGAGGAGGCAAGCGUUAUCCGGAAUUAUUGGGCGUAAAGCGUCCGUAGGUGGUUUGACAAGUCUGGGGUUAAAGCCCGGAGCCCAACUCCGGAUCGGCCCUGGAAACUGUCAGACUUGAGUAAGGUAGGGGUUGCGGGAAUUCCCGGUGUAGCGGUGAAAUGCGUAGAUAUCGGGAAGUACACCAGCGUCGAAAGCGCGCAACUGGGCCAUUACUGACACUGAAGGACGAAAGCUAGGGGAGCGAAUGGU